CAUCGUCAUGGACAUCGAUCAAAAAUCGAUUCUCAUCAUCCAAAACACAUCUUUGAUAGUUGAGAGAUCAGAUAUUCCAUGCUCUCUCAUCUUUAUACGCACCACUGGAAAAAGUAAAUUAAAUUGUCUUACUUUUGAGGUCUUUGUACAAUAUACAUUAUUCACAUAUAUGCAUAUGGUUUUGACUUUUCUAUUCUGACCCAAUCAAAAAUAUCCAACGUUAUCAGUGCCAAAAUAGCUCAGAAAAUUCUGAUCCCAAACUCGUCUCAGGAAGGAUUUGGUGGUGAAUAUGUCAUUGCAUCUCAAAUUGGACUUAUGUUGGAGCUAAUUAAAGCACCAUUGAUAGGGCCCUUGCUGAAGAUUGGAUUUUACAUUUUCUUAGCUAUGUCUUUAAUGAUUUUCAUGGGGAGAGAAAAGAUACAACUAUGAACCCAUUCAAGAUCGAAUUGGGGUCCUCUAAUUUCCCUGUUGUCUUGAUCUAAAUCCCCAUAUUUAACGAACGAGAGGUUUACAAGGUCUCCAUUGGAGCUGCAUGUGGGCUUUCAUGGCUGUCCGAUCGUCUAUUGAUCCAAGUCCUCGACGAUUUAACUGACCCAAUAAUUAAGAAAACCAAAGGAAUUGGAAGAUGAUUGCAACAGAGAUAAAGGUAGAAGAAUCGCAUAAUUAAUCGUACUUUGACUGUGAAGAAUCGUCACCUAAGCCUAAUAGUUAUGGGCAAAAUUUCCAUAUGAUUAUAAAUUUUUCAAGUGUAUAUAUUUAUUUAAUAGGUUUUAACGAAGUUGUUUCAGGCGUAUAUAUUUAUUUA